rnacentral:rRNA from 1 species
CCUACGGGAGGCAGCAGUGAGGAAUAUUGGACAAUGGACGCAAGUCUGAACCAGCCAUGCCGCGUGCAGGAAGAAGGCUCUAUGAGUUGUAAACUGCUUUUGUACGAGGGUAAACGCAGAUAAGUGUAUCUGUAUGAAAGUAUCGUACGCAUAAGGAUCGGCUAACUCCGUGCCAGCAGCCGCGGUAAUACGGAGGAUUCAAGCGUUAUCCGGAUUUAUUGGGUGUAAAGGGUGCGUAGGCGGUCGGAUAAGUUAGAGGUGAAAGCCCGAGGCUCAACCUCGGAAUUGCAUCGGAUACUGUUCGGCUAGAGAGUAGGUGCGGUAGGCGGAAUGUAUGGUGUAGCGGUGAAAUGCUUAGAGAUCAUACAGAACACCGAUGGCGAAGGCAGCUUACCAAGCUACUUCUGACGUUGAGGCACGAAAGCGUGGGGAGCAAACAGGAUUAGAUACCCUUGUAGUC